AUGAUGCUACACCUAUGUAGUGACGAACGGAAAAAUGUCAUACAAAAUGCGAUUGAGAAUGAUUAUGAUUUAUUUACGAUAUUGAAAGAGUCUUUGAGGGUGGUUAAGCAAUGGCUAUGUGGAAAGUGUAUGAGCAUUCAUGCCAUGAGUCGUACAUGUCAUCAUCCCGAUGGUUUUGUUCGUGUCACUCACGGGACAUGA